rnacentral:rRNA from 1 species
AGACUCCUACGGGAGGCAGCAGUGGGGAAUAUUGCACAAUGGGCGCAAGCCUGAUGCAGCCAUGCCGCGUGUGUGAAGAAGGCCUUCGGGUUGUAAAGCACUUUCAGCGGGGAGGAAGGCGGUGAGGUUAAUAACCUCAUCGAUUGACGUUACCCGCAGAAGAAGCACCGGCUAACUCCGUGCCAGCAGCCGCGGUAAUACGGAGGGUGCAAGCGUUAAUCGGAAUUACUGGGCGUAAAGCGCAC